rnacentral:rRNA from 1 species
UUAGAGUUUGAUCCUGGCUCAGGAUGAACGCUAGCGGCAGGCUUAACACAUGCAAGUCGAGGGGCAGCGAGAUCAGUGCUUGCACUGAUUGUCGGCGACCGGCGCACGGGUGCGUAACGCGUAUGCAACCUACCCAUUACAGGGGGAUAACACUGAGAAAUCGGUACUAAUACCCCAUAACAUCCAGGGAGGCAUCUUCUUGGGUUGAAAACUCCGGUGGUAAUGGAUGGGCAUGCGUUGUAUUAGUUAGUUGGUGGGGUAACGGCUCACCAAGACAACGAUACAUAGGGGGACUGAGAGGUUAACCCCCCACAUUGGUACUGAGACACGGACCAAACUCCUACGGGAGGCAGCAGUGAGGAAUAUUGGUCAAUGGACGCAAGUCUGAACCAGCCAUGCCGCGUGCAGGAAGACGGCUCUAUGAGUUGUAAACUGCUUUUGUACGAGGGUAAACGCAGAUACGCGUAUCUGUCUGAAAGUAUCGUACGAAUAAGGAUCGGCUAACUCCGUGCCAGCAGCCGCGGUAAUACGGAGGAUUCAAGCGUUAUCCGGAUUUAUUGGGUUUAAAGGGUGCGUAGGCGGUCGGAUAAGUUAGAGGUGAAAUCCCGGGGCUCAACUUCGGAAUUGCCUCUGAUACUGUUCGGCUAGAGAGUAGUUGCGGUAGGCGGAAUGUAUGGUGUAGCGGUGAAAUGCUUAGAGAUCAUACAGAACACCGAUUGCGAAGGCAGCUUACCAAGCUACUUCUGACGUUGAGGCACGAAAGCGUGGGGAGCAAACAGGAUUAGAUACCCUGGUAGUCCACGCAGUAAACGAUGAUAACUCGUUGUCGGCGAUACAGUGUCGGUGACUAAGCGAAAGCGAUAAGUUAUCCACCUGGGGAGUACGUUCGCAAGAAUGAAACUCAAAGGAAUUGACGGGGGCCCGCACAAGCGGAGGAACAUGUGGUUUAAUUCGAUGAUACGCGAGGAACCUUACCCGGGCUUGAAAGUUAGUGACGGAUCUUGAAAGAGGUCUUCCCUUCGGGGCACGAAACUAGGUGCUGCAUGGUUGUCGUCAGCUCGUGCCGUGAGGUGUCGGGUUAAGUCCCAUAACGAGCGCAACCCCUACCGUUAGUUGCCAGCAGGUCAAGCUGGGCACUCUGACGGGACUGCCGGUGUAAGCCGAGAGGAAGGUGGGGAUGACGUCAAAUCAGCACGGCCCUUACGUCAGGGGCUACACACGUGUUACAAUGGCAGGUACAGAGGGCAGCUGCCCAGCGAUGGGAUGCGAAUCUCGAAAGCCUGUCUCAGUUCGGAUUGGAGGCUGAAACCCGCCUCCAUGAAGUUGGAUUCGCUAGUAAUCGCGCAUCAGCCAUGGCGCGGUGAAUACGUUCCCGGGCCUUGCACACACCGCCCGUCA